rnacentral:rRNA from 1 species
CUACGGGACGCUCCAGUGGGGAAUAUUGCACAAUGGGCGCAAGCCUGAUGCAGCCAUGCCGCGUGUAUGAAGAAGGCCUUCGGGUUGUAAAGUACUUUCAGUCGCGAGGAAGGUGGUGCAGUGAAUAGCUGCAUUAUUUGACGUUAGCGACAGAAGAAGCACCGGCUAACUCCGUGCCAGCAGCCGCGGUAAUACGGGAGGGUGCGAGCGUUAAUCGGAAUUACUGGGCGUAAAGCGCAUGCAGGUGGUUUGUUAAGUCAGAUGUGAAAGCCCGAGGCUCAACCUCGGAAGGUCAUUUGAAACUGGCAGGCUAGAGUACUGUAGAGGGGGGUAGAAUUUCAGGUGUAGCGGUGAAAUGCGUAGAGAUCUGAAGGAAUACCGGUGGCGAAGGCGGCCCCCUGGACAGAUACUGACACUCAGAUGCGAAAGCGUGGGGAGCAAACAGGAUUAGAUACCCUAGUAGUC